rnacentral:rRNA from 1 species
GACGAACGCUGGCGGCGUGCUUAACACAUGCAAGUCGAACGGAAAGGCCCUGCUUUUGUGGGGUGCUCGAGUGGCGAACGGGUGAGUAACACGUGAGUAACCUGCCCUUGACUUUGGGAUAACUUCAGGAAACUGGGGCUAAUACCGGAUAGGAGCUCCUGCUGCAUGGUGGGGGUUGGAAAGUUUCGGCGGUUGGGGAUGGACUCGCGGCUUAUCAGCUUGUUGGUGGGGUAGUGGCUUACCAAGGCUUUGACGGGUAGCCGGCCUGAGAGGGUGAUCGGCCACAUUGGGACUGAGAUACGGCCCAGACUCCUACGGGAGGCAGCAGUGGGGAAUAUUGCACAAUGGGCGGAAGCCUGAUGCAGCAACGCCGCGUGCGGGAUGACGGCCUUCGGGUUGUAAACCGCUUUCGCCUGUGACGAAGCGUGAGUGACGGUAAUGGGCAAAGAAGCACCGGCUAACUACGUG